rnacentral:rRNA from 1 species
AACGCGAAGAACCUUACCUGGGCUUGACAUACCAGGAUUAUCUCGGUGAAAGCCGAGUAGGCCUCGCAAGAGGAACAACUGGAACAGGUGCUGCAUGGCUGUCGUCAGCUCGUGUCGUGAGAUGUCGGGUUAAGUCCCUUAACGAGCGAAACCUUUGCCCUUAGUUACCAUCGGGUUAAGCCGGGGACUCUAAGGGGACUGCCGGUGUCAAACCGGAGGAAGGUGGAGAUGACGUCAAGUCCUCAUGGCCUUUAUGCCCAGGGCCACACACGUGCUACAAUGGGGUGCACAGAGCGAACCUAGAGCGCAAGCUGGAGGAAAUCGCAGAAAUCACCCCCCAGUUCAGAUUGGAGGCUGCAACCCGCCUCCAUGAAGUUGGAAUCGCUAGUAAUCGCGGAUCAGCUACGCCGCGGUGAAUGUGUUCCCGGGCCUUGUACACACCGUAGAGAC